GACCUCAUUUAAGGGUUGGCAGUGGAGGGAAGGCUCUCUCUGAAGGUCACUAUAUACCUGAGGCCUUCUGCAGGUCUUCGCUCCCUUAUGGACGCCCCUAUGCCUGCGCAGAGAGCGGCGCUUCUGCCUUUGCACGAAUUUCUCUCCGCCGUGCUCUGAUUUCCCGAAGCAGACGAACGACGGACCGAACCCGGAGACGCCGUCAAACGGCUGUCCCCGUGGGUGUCGAUGGAAACCCGGCUCCGAGCUUCGCGUCGCAGCUCUGUAAAGGAGCCAGGUCUGUGAGCACCAUCUAGUGGCUCUGCUCACACCGACAUCGCUGCACGGCACGAACGAAGGAGCGGGGUCACAAACACGGCGACGUCAGCAGCUGCAGCUUUCCAGCCAGCUGCAAGUACCUUGAACGAGAGCUACCUGGAUCAUUGCUGAAUGCUAAAUUAGCAGUUGAGGACUGACAAAGUGAUGCUUUCCCCAUAUUCAGAUGAGUGACUUAACGGGCUUGCACAGAGCUGACAAUAGUGAGAGAUGCAUGCUGCAGCAGGCUUGUGGCUGGAAACCUUGGAUAAUGGAUGGUUACUUGAGGUCCUUAUCUAAGAUGCUCCAAGGAACUGCCACAAUAAAAAUAAUAAACACCAACAAUAAUAAUUAUUAACAGAAUGCAAGGAGUCUGACUCUAAUCCCAUGCUGGGUUUGUGACUUAAUGAUUCUGCUGACUUUGAAAGAGCUGCUUCUGAUUUAAACUGCUGAAAGUGAAAUCAAAAACAGAUCCUAAAUCGUUGUCCACCUUAUUUGCAAUCAAGCUAUUCUGGGAGGUGGUGUAGCUCCUUGAUGAUGCUGUUAAGACCAAAAAAUAAGUGAAAUUUUUGGAUCAAAGAAGCUUUUUUACUGAAGUCACCCACUUCAAGUCCUGGCUGAAGCAGUAGGCUGAAGAUUUUUAAAGGAACGUGGAGGGUUUUUUUAUGUAACACCUUUUUCCAAGUUGUAGGAAGACUGAGAGUGGUUUCUAACUUGGUUUCGUGUUUCCAUCAAUACUGUUAAAAUCGGAUAUUUUACUGGGUUAGGAUUAUGCUCAAGGGUUGGACAAAGCGUUUAUUUGAACAUCAUCCCUAAAAUCUAUUUUUCAAUUGCCUGUCGAUUGAGUUAAAUGACUUCCUUAAUUGCUGUGUUGAAAGAACUGUUAAUAUUUGUACUUCGGUUACCCUAUUCUCUGUCUGUGGAGGAUGGGCCAGCAGAGGGAAUUCCCAUGCUUCUUCAGGGACAAAGAGAACAUCUGCCCCAGGACCAUGUCCCAGAGGCACUGUCUUAUGACCAGCCUCAGGUUUUACCCCAAGCCCUAUGGGCAGACUGGGACACUGUUGGAACUGAGAUGGGAGCUCUGCCAAAAAGACAAUGACAAAAUAUGGUCACGGGGAAAAAUAAUUACUAACCACAGCACUGCUUGAUGGAGGAACAAAACUCAUCUUAAUGUUUUUCGACUUUUGACCAAGAAA
rnacentral:lncRNA from 1 species